rnacentral:rRNA from 1 species
GUGUCAGCAGCCGCGGUAAGACGAACUGUCCUAACGUUGUUCGGAAUCACUGGGCUUAAAGGGCGCGUAGGCGGUCCGACAAGUCAGGGGUGAAAUCCUGCAGCUUAACUGCAGAAGUGCCUUUGAUACUGUCGGUCUUGAGGGAGAUAGGGGUGUGCGGAACUCACAGUGGAGCGGUGAAAUGCGUUGAUAUUGUGAGGAACGCCGGAGGCGAAAGCGGCGCACUGGAUCUCUUCUGACGCUGAGGCGCGAAAGCUAGGGGAGCAAACGGGAUUAGAUACCCGAGUAGUCC